rnacentral:rRNA from 1 species
GGGUUGUGAGGUUAAGCGACUAAGCGUACACGGUGGAUGCCCUGGCAGUCAGAGGCGAUGAAGGACGUGCUAAUCUGCGAAAAGCGCCGGCGAGGUGAUAUGAACCCUUGACCCGGCGAUGUCCGAAUGGGGAAACCCAGUGUGUUCCGACACACUAUCGUUAACUGAAUACAUAGGUUAACGAGGCGAACCGG